GACGAACGCUGGCGGCGUGCCUAAUACAUGCAAGUUGAGCGCUGAAGGCUGGUUCUUGUACCAACUGCAUGAGCCGCGCACGGGUGAGUAACGCGUGGGGAAUCUGCCUGUGUGCGGGGGACAACAUUUGGAAACGAACGCUAAUACCGCAUAAAAACUUUAAACACAAGUUUUAAGUGUGAAAGAUGCAAUUGCAUCACUCAAUGAUGAUCCCGCGUUGUAUUAGCUUGUUGGUGAGGUAAAGGCGCACUAAGGCGAUGAUGCAUAGCCGACCUGAGAGGGUGAUCAGCCGGCUUGAGACGGUGACACGGCCCAAACUGCUACAGAAGGCAGCAGUAGUGCAUCGUCGGCCAGGAGCGAGAAACUGACCGAACUACGCCGCGUGAGUGAAGAAGGAUUUCGGGUGGGAAAACUCUGUUUGUAGGGAAGAACGUUGGUUAGCGUGGAACGAACAGCAAGUGACGGUAACGACUCAGAAAGCGACGGCUAACUACGUG
rnacentral:rRNA from 1 species